GACGAACGCUGGCGGCGUGCUUAACACAUGCAAGUCGAACGGUGAAGGGACCGGUUUUUGCUGGUUCUGGAUGAGUGGCGAACGGGUGAGUAACACGUGAGUGACCUGCCCCCUUCUUCUGGAUAACCGCAUGAAAGUGUGGCUAAUACGGGAUAUUCUGCGCCUGCUGCAUGGUGGGUGUGGGAAAGAUAUUGUUUCGGUGGGGGAUGGGCUCGCGGCCUAUCAGCUUGUUGGUGGGGUGAUGGCCUACCAAGGCGGUGACGGGUAGCCGGCCUGAGAGGGUGGACGGUCACACUGGGACUGAGACACGGCCCAGACUCCUACGGGAGGCAGCAGUGGGGAAUAUUGCACAAUGGGCGCAAGCCUGAUGCAGCGACGCCGGGUGAGGGAUGGAGGCCUUCGGGUUGUAAACCUCUUUCGCCAGUGAAGCAGGCCUGUCCCUUUUGUGGGUGGGUUGACGGUAGCUGGAUAAGAAGCGCCGGCUAACUACGUG
rnacentral:rRNA from 1 species